UUCACUGAACCUCUGUAUCCUGGGUUUGGAGUCUGGCCUGGUUCCUCGAUGUCUCUGUGUCCUCUGUCUGAGGUGAACACUCCCAGGGUGGAGGACAGACGGGACAGCGCUACACCUGCCACACAUAAAGGACCUGAUCCGUCCACAUCC